UCACGUCCAUGGUCAGCACCGU
rnacentral:miRNA from 1 species